AUUGAACGCUGGCGGCAUGCUUUACACAUGCAAGUCGGACGGCAGCGGGGUAGUGCUUGCACUACUGCCGGCGAGUGGCGGACGGGUGAGUAAUAUAUUGGAACGUACCGAGUAAUGGGGGAUAACCAAUCGAAAGAUUGGCUAAUACCGCAUACGCUCUGAGGAGGAAAGCAGGGGACCUUCGGGUCUUGCGUUAUUCGAGCGGCCAAUAUCUGAUUAGCUAGUUGGCGGGGUAAGGGCCUACCAAGGCGACGAUCAGUAGCGGGUCUGAGAGGAUGAUCCGCCACACUGGGACUGAGACACGGCCCAGACUCCUACGGGAGGCAGCAGUGGGGAAUUUUGGACAAUGGGCGCAAGCCUGAUCCAGCCAUGCCGCGUGUCUGAAGAAGGCCUUCGGGUUGUAAAGGACUUUUGUUAGGGAAGAAAAAGGAGCGGUUAAUACCCGUUUCUGCUGACGGUACCUAAAGAAUAAGCACCGGCUAACUACGUG
rnacentral:rRNA from 1 species